rnacentral:tRNA from 2 species
GAGGCAGCUGGCGCGCCGGUACCGGGCGCUGCCGCUGCGGGCGCGACUGGCGAUGCUGGUCGCGGCGGCGGUGGCGUUCGCGGUGGCGGCGGUCUCG